CAGUAAGAGAGAGAGAGAGAAAGGUCUUCCUUCCUCUGGUUCACCACCCCCCCAAAUGGCUGCUACGGCCGGCGCUACACUGAUCUGAAGCUAGGAGUCAGGUGCUUCCUCCUGGUCUCCCAUGGGGUGCAGGGCCCAAGUACUUGGGCCAUCCUCCACUGCCCUCCCGGGCUACAGCAAAGAGCUGGACUGGAAGAGGAGUAGCCGGAACUAGAACCCGGCGCCCAUAUGGGAUGCCAGCACCGCAGGCAGAGGAUUAACCAAGUGAGCCACAGUGCCGGCCCCAAGCUGCUCUUGGUCUUUAACGUGGGCAUAUUGGUGCUAUGAAGUUUCCUUUCAGCACGGCUUUGGCUGCCUCUCAUGAGUUUCAGUUUGUUGUACUGGUGUUUCCAUUUGGCUUGGUAUUGCGUUGUUAUGUCCCUUGAGACAGUCCUUUUGACCCAGCCUGUUUAGAAGUGUGUUUUAAUUUUGUAAAAUGUUAUUUGAAAGGCAGAGAGACAGAGAUACACACAGACAAGAUCUUCUAGCCAAUGGUUCACUCCCCAAAUGCCCACAACACCCAGGCCAGGGCCAGGCUGAGACCUGGGGCGGAUCUCUCACGUGAGUGGCAGACGGCCAAGCACGUGGGCCAUCGCCGCCCUCUGCCAGGUGCAGGUUAGCAGAGAGCUGGAACGGAGCAGGGCACGCUGAUAAGGAUGUAGGGGUCUCAGGCGAAGUCCUGACUCCUGGGCCACACGCCUGCCUCUGUGCUGUGUUCACUCCUACGUGUCUGGAAAACUUUGGGGCUCUCUUUCUGUUAGUGAUUUCAACUUUUUUAUCCCGGUCAAUGUAAAUUCGUUCACAUGUGCUGAGGUUUGCUCUGUCACCCAAAGGACGCCCACUGUGGCCCAGGUUCCACGGGCCCCAGCAUAGGCAGUGCCGGAGUGGCUUGCUAGCUCUGCACGUGGCCACGUGGGCUGGCGGCGGCGUCAGUCCGCCCGCCUCCUCCCUGAGUUUGUGUCUGGCAGCUGUGCUAGUCCUCAGCUCCCACUCUGGGUCUGUCUGUUUCUCCUUUCUGGUCUCCCAUAUUUUGUUUCCACUCCACACCCUCCACUCAGGGACGGAGCAGUGAGCCUGGGCACCGUAGGGUGAGUGUGGAUCGUGGCGCCUCUCGGGGGGCGCAGGAGCCCCUGGGGUGGGGACGGCCGGUCCUCCCCGCUCUGCAACUUGGCCCGCGUCACUCAGCCUGCCUGAGCCUCCAUUUCUGUCUCCAGAACGGUGACUGAGAGCAGAUGAAGCGCAAGGGUUUGGUUCCAAAGCUGUUACGAGCACCGCCUAUGUGCAGGAUGCUGAGGCACUGGGGUGUACCGAUGCCGACAGCCUGGUGCGUGGAACCUCAGCCUCUUACUAAAGGCUGGCGAAGUGAACUCCACCACGAGACGGAAAUCGCCCUUCUCCCUGCUCUGCGGACUGGAAGGUGACUCGCCCACCACACCACCGCCAGAGCCGGCAAAGCCGGAGGCCAGUCCAAGCUGGUGCUAAUGCUCCCAGCCGGAGAACCCGGGCUCCUCUCGCUUAUGGUUCUACGGCACGGUGGACGUGGGGUUCAGAGCCCCCCAUGAGAAAGACACAGACACUCUGCCUGCGUCCCAGUCGGAGCCCUCCCCUCCCCUCCGUUCUCCACUGGGCUCCAUGUCAGGCUGCCCAGGUGAGCUACCUGGGCGCGUCUCCCCGGAAAGAGGGGCCAGUGUGAUGGACAUGGCACGGCAGUCCCAAAGGGACAGCUCCCCCCGCCCCCGUCCCAGCCCUCCCCGGUCCCCGCGGUGUCACCUUCGCCGAGUCCUCCAGCGCCUUCCUGCUGCGUCUCUUCACCCCACCGAGGCUUCAGCCAAGAGUGAAAAGUCCGUUUAAUCUCAACUGCCAACUCAGAGUUGAUUGGUGAAGGCUGGCAGGUGCCCCCAGAAAGAUUCCAAGGCUCUCGGCAGUUAGAAUGCGGUGCUCGGCUAGUGCUGCCUGCCCUGGGGGGUGGGGGUGGAGAUGAGUGCAGUUCACUCACAGGAUGGGAAGCUGCAGAUGCAAAGCUUGGAGCAAGAGGCAGCAGUGACAGCUGCAGUCACCGAGGUACUGGGCUGAGAACAAGGGCGACAGUGCUUCCUGGGAGUGGAGACAAUGAGAGUAGGCACAUAAUAAAUGCUUGAAGACUGAUGGACUGAACAGGUAAACCAGACAUGGAGUAGACGGGUGGUUUCCUGAGGCAUUUUAGGAGCCCCAACAAGACUGCAGCAGGUGCGUCCCCAGGACCUGACGAGCCUCCUGGCGCCCUCCCCAUCCGAGAGGAGCCCUUGCCCCUGGGGGGUGGGGUUAUGCAAGGGAAAGCGCCAGGGGCUGGGGUCUACCUCCCCUUGAGCCCUGACGUGCUCAGAACCACACAGCUGCCUCUCAGAAGGGACCCCUCGGAGGCCGGCAUUGUGGUCCUGGUGCACAGGCCAGGGUGGCAGAGGUGCUGGGCUCUGGAAUCGGUGUAACCACAGCAGAAGGUGAGGUCCGGGGCGGCCGGCAAGUCCCUGCGCUUCCCGGCUUCCCAGUGCAGUCCACGCCGAGCGCCUGGAGCGCCUCUUCCUCUCCCACGUUGGAGCUGAUUUCCUGGACUCCACUCCCAAGUCUGUCUGGAACCCAGCCCACAACACACUUCUGAAAAUGUCUCAUGUUUUGCUAUGGGGGGAGAGCGCUUGCAUAAUUGGCCAAUGGGCCAGCCCGGCCUGCCCCAGGCAUCCUGCUCCCCAGCUCCUGGACAGGGUCCGGGUACGCCAGGACCAUGAAGACAGGUGACUGCGAAUGCAAUAGGGCUCUUGCCUCGGCCCCAGCCUGAGGCUGAGCUGUGUCCUUGGAUGGUGCUCCAGCGCCCAGUGUACGGGGGAUACCCUGGAGCUUGUCAAAGGGAAGAUGCUCUGCUAAUUCGGGCAGGCGACGCUGCCCCUCACUUUCCUCAUCUGUAAAAUGGGGGUAAGGCCAGUGACUCUGCUGAACUUUCUGGAACCAGGCGGAUGGCUCCGAGGGGUGAGUGGGGCCAGUCAAGUUGAGGCUGAAGGCAGUGCUCAAGGGCUUCAGCUCACGGAGCUCCAAGUUCAAAGGCAUCUGGAUUCUGGGUUGAGGGGCAGUGAUCUCCCUAACCACAGCAGAAGUCACAGCUCUGGGUGAGAAGCUCGGCACACGGUGAGCCCAGCUCCCCAGACCCCGAGGCUCCCUGGGGGCACCCCCGGGAGCGGACUCCACUUGAGGUCAGCAAGGCUGUACCUCUGGCUUGGAUCAGCCAGCUUCCUGGAAUGCCGAGGCCAGCGAGGACCGCAGCCUUCAGCCAGCCCACCUUGGUUUCCAGAAGACCCUGACAGCCUGGAUGCACAGCAGGACGAUGGCAGCCCACCUGGGACAUCAGGACCCUGCCCAUGGGAUCUUUCAGGAAGCCAAAUCAGCAGCCCAGAAGCAACGAGCCCAGAACAGCCAGAACCUGGUUGGGCACAGCUGGCUCCCUCCUUGUCUGUACCCGCUUCCAGCUCAGCACCAACCAGAGAAGUCCCAGGUCCCCAACCCUCACAAAAGAUGGCAGGAUCGGGCAGAGCCCUAGCUGCCCCAGGCCAGCACUGUCACCCAGGGCACACCGAGAGCCUCCCUUUCCUUCCUCACACCCCCCCUGCCUCUGACCGCCUCCACCUGCAGGUGGCCGCGGUCACUCCCUUGCACCGGCCACUUUUGCUCUCCUGUGAGUGUGAUUAUUUCCACAACUCAGGGACCCAGAAAGGGCCCAGGAAGGAUUCGAGGUCACGUUGAGGCAGGGAGGUAGAAGCCAGCUCCCUCAGGUUCAUUUCCCUGCCUCGCUCUCCCCUUCCAGGAAAAACCGACUGCUUCCUCUCUCUCGAGGUGCCUUCCCUGUGUGCACUGGUGCUACUUCAAGAAGAGGAGCCUUGGGAGUGACCUGGAUUUAGCAUCUCUCUUCCAAUGAAGAGAAGAAAGCCGAGGGACCAUGGACAGUGUCAGGGACUUGCUCCAAAGACGCAUGGCGGCUUGCUCUUGGCUUUCUUGGGUCACUCACUAGUUAGGAAGCCAGCUGCCAGGCUGUGAGGCCACACAGGCACCCCGAGGAGAGGCCCAUGUGAUGACGCACUGAGAGGACUCGCCAGGAGCCAGGGAAGAACUGAGGUCUCCCACUGACAGCCACGUGAGCAAGUCGCCCUGGCAGCAGCUCCCCUGGCCCCUGUCAACAUCUCAGCUGCAGCCUUGUGAGAGACCCUGGCCCAAGACUUCCUGGGUCAAACCCCUCCAGGUUCCUGACCCACCGGACCUGGGGGAGGUAACAGAUGUCUGUUGUUCCAAGCUGCAUGGUUAGCAAUGCAACACAAGUUGGUGCUUUUUGGUCUGAGAUUCAUCGUAUCCAAUUAGGAGCGCUGAGAAUAAAGCACCAGUGACUCAGGACUCAGUGAUGUUUCAUGGAGAGAUGAGUGAAUGGAUGGA